AGUGAACGCUGGCGGUAGGCCUAACACAUGCCAGUCGAACGGCAGCACAGUAAGAGCUUGCCCUUACGGGUGGCGAGUGGCGGACGGGUGAGGAAUACAUCGGAAUCUACUUUUUCGUGGGGGAUAACGUAGGGAAACUUACGCUAAUACCGCAUACGACCUACGGGUGAAAGCAGGGGAUCUUCGGACCUCGCGCGAUUGAUGGAGCCGAUGUCGGAUUAGCUAGUUGGCGGGGUAAAGGCCCACCAGGGCGACGAUCCGUAGCUGGUCUGAGAGGAUGAUCAGCCACCCUGGACCGGAGACACGGUCCAGACUCCUACGGGAGGCAGCAGUGGGGAAUAUUGGACAAUGGGCGCAAGCCUGAUCCAGCCAUACCGCGUGGGUGAAGAAGGCCUUCGGGUUGUAAAGCCCUUUUGUUGGGAAAGAAAAGCAGCAGGUUAAUCCCCCGCUGUUCUGACGGUACCCAAAGAAUAAGCACCGGCUAACUUCGUG
rnacentral:rRNA from 1 species